UGCGGCGUAGCUCAGUUGGACAGAGCACCUUGUUAACGACAUACAAAUUGGGGUGACAACCAAUUGUAUGGGCAUGGAGGACGCAGGUUCAAGUCCUGCCGCCGCACCCA
rnacentral:tRNA from 1 species